CUCGACAUAUGCUGCCGCCUUUUACUCUAACCCUCAACAUCCGACUCCGCCUUUCAUCGGCCUGAUUUUGAGUGAUCAAAUAGGCCACCGCCUCCUCCAAGGAACUAUUCAGGUAUUUUUUGCUGUGGUUUGUUGCCAGAGUAUUGAGAUCGAUGAAAGGUGAAAACAUGAAUAAAAGAUGAUGACACCUUCCCUCUCCCUCCCUCUCUCUCUCUCUCUCUCACACACACACACACACACAUGUCUAUAAAUACAUGCAGAAAAGAGAAGAAUUGAACUGUUUUUAGGGGUUGGGGGGAAGAAGAAGCUGAAUUGAGCCACUUCAGUGGACUUCUUGGCUCAUGUAUUUGUUGUGCUCACUUCAUUCACUGAUUUGGCAUGGAAUGAGGUGAUUUGAGGAGCUAUUUAGAGAUGGACAUGACAAAUAAGAUUGAAAGAUUUUGUCAUUUUGAAAUUUUAAUGCAUCAGCUUGGUUAGCCAUCUAUUGAGCAUGUGUUAACUCAUUUAUCCUAGAUGAUUAUCCACGACUCAACCGUAUCGAUUCACCAUGUCAUUUACAUUGUUAUGGGAAUCAACCUCCUAGAACAAUAGAAUCUCAUGUCUAUUCACAUUGCCACUUUCAUCAACAAUGUGGGAAUCAACCAUGGACAACAAUAAAAUCUCAUGCCUACUUACCUUAGUGCCAUUUUCGCCCUUCUUACUAUCAUUGUUCCACUACUCAUCAACCUCACUGAUUUGAAGUUUCGGAAAGAGGCUGACUUUGUAUUUCAAGCUCACCCCAUAAACACCAAGGUGGCUGUUCUUAGCUUACUAGCAUUUGUCUUGGCAUUUGGAAUUGAGUUAACCUUCCAUACGUGUCAUAUCUCUCCUACUUGUGCUGCUCUCCUCCAUACUACCAUGGUGUUUUUCGGUUCCUUCUCAAUGGCUUCAUUGGCAUCACUCUUGUUUCCUGGUGCAGUAUGACCCUUUCUACUUGUCAUCUAUGCCUUCCUAGCACUUAGCAACAUGCAAAACCUAGUCCGGAAAUGGUGUCACUGGGUUCACCAUAGACUCAUUUACAACCUUGAGACUGUAUUAACAGGAUUUGGGCAAUUCCACACUUGGGGCCUUGAUUCUAAUGGAGAAAGCAACUCAAUCAGGAAAAGACGAAAGCAAAGUACAUUUUCUUUAGAACCAAUGGAACCUGUUUGUUCAUUAAUACUGGAGGGGGGAGCCAGUAAUGUGACAUGAUGCCAGCCCAAGAAAGCACCAACUCAGCAUGAGCAGCAUGAGGAACUGGGCUCUCAUACAGGGAACCUGCAACUAUAUGAAGUCAGUAACAUGUAUCCAUGAUGGUUAAGGGUAAAGUUGGAGGGCUUCUUCUCAUGUGCCCUUGUUGCAUUCCAGUGAGUACAGUCUGUUCGUGCCAUCCUAUGCAAGUUGUCAACAGAGAGGAUAUGACAUAGGUGACAUAUAGAAGGGGGUCGCCAUGCAUCUGAUGCAAGAAAACCAGUGAAAGGGAAUUAGAAAACACAAUGGGAGUGCAGAGGAGAGCAGCAGAAGAAGAAUGGAAAGUGAAGUCAAUUCCUAAUGCCAAAACAAAUGCUAGUAAGUUAGCAACAGCGACCUUGGUGGUUAUGGAGUGGGCUUGAAAUGCAGAGUUUGGCUUAUUCUGGAACACUCCAAAUCAAUGAGGUAGAGAAGCAGGGAAAGAAUAAAGGUUAGAAGGGCGAGAAUAAGGUUAUGUGAAGUAGAAAUGUGAUUGUGUUGUUGUUGGAGGUUGAUUCCAAAAAGUUGAAAUUAGCAUAGAGAAUAUACAUGGUUGUGUUAUGGAUACUCAAUUUAAAUCAGUUGUAAUAAGAAGAGACAAAACCAAUAGACGGUGAAGCCACUGAAUUUCAUGGGGUGUUAAUGUCUACUCAACACACUUUAUCA